CCUACGGGAGGCUGCAGUGGGGAAUAUUGCACAAUGGGGGAAACCCUGAUGCAGCAACGCCGCGUGAGUGAAGAAGUAUUUCGGUAUGUAAAGCUCUAUCAGCAGGGAAGAAGAUGACGGUACCUGAGUAAGAAGCCCCGGUUAACUACGUGCCAGCAGCGGCGGUAAUCCGGAGGGGGCAAGCGUUAUCCGGAUUUACGGGGGUUAAAGGGAGCGUAGACGGUGAGACAAGUCUGAAGUGAAAGCCCGGGGCUCAACCCCGGGACUGCUUUUGAAACUGCCUGACGGGAGUGCUGGAGAGGCAAGCGGAAUGCGUAGUGUAGCGGUGAAAUGCGUAGAUAUUAGGAAGAACACCAGUGGCGAAGGCGGCUUGCUGGACAGUAACUGACGUUGAGGCUCGAAAGCGUGGGGAGCGAACAGGAUUAGAUACCCUGGUAGUC
rnacentral:rRNA from 1 species